rnacentral:lncRNA from 1 species
UUUCUCUCUCACUCCUUAAAGCUAGAGAGAUAGUGGUACACAAACAAACUACAAAAGCCAGCCAUGCACGUGCAUGAGAAACACAGAUCAGAAAAGAAGAUGAUAGUGGGGCCUACCUAGUUUGAGUUGGGGUCGAGUGAAAAGAAAGAUGGGUUUUCCCCACAAACACGACGAAGACUAAUGUGAGAAGGUAGAAGUCACCUUGGUAGGUGCCAAAUAAAAAUAUUGUGUAAUUUGAUAUGUUAGAUAUUAUCAACGUUCAAAUAAGUGGGGAUUAUGAUAGAAAUGUUUAUACCACGAUAAAUUUAAAAAAAUAGAACUCACCUUUGUCCUCUUCUAGUCUUCCUUUCGUCUUCUCCAUUGUCGGUGAUGGUCGGGUGCAUUUCCUUCUAUUUCUUACUCUGCAUCUCGUAUUCCUUGUUAACGAAAAAGAUUGAAUCUCACAGCAACAUCUGGAUCGACAUCGAUUCUUUUCACGUGUGAGAUGUUACUGGACAUUGGAGUUUUUUGAAAAUGAAUUUUUGCCUAAGGGUUUGGCUCUUGCUUGAGGUUGUCCUUAAAGAGGAUGAGGGAAAAGACGAGCAUUUGACGAAGAGGCGAAAAGAACCUUUGUCGCUUCAAUCAUAUUUGCAAAAAAAAGUCAAAAACCAGAUUCGCGUCUUUGCUUCAAAUCGGUGUCUCCGCUUUGUUCUGUUUGUGACUUGAGUGUCAUCGAAUUUGAAAA